rnacentral:lncRNA from 1 species
CUUUUCCUUAAAAAAAAAUGAUAAUUGAGGAAAAAAAAAAAUCAAGAUUUGGGGGGAAUUACCUACAAAGAUGUAAGGUUGCUUGUCUGGAGAUGGAGCCACUACAGGCGGGCCUGGGCGCCUGGAGUCGGGCAUGAAAGAAAAUAGCGCCUCAUCGCUCUUAUCUAAGCCCAGAGGUAGACUUCGCUUGAAAAGAUCGAGAAUGGAGGAGGGGAUCGGCACUCACUUGCAGACAUCAACAGUUUCCAGAAAAUUCGGUUCAAUUCCUUCACCACGGACCCACCAACCAAGGAGCUGGCAAAACCCACUAACCAACCAGGAGAACACAGACCCGGUUUGUCUUUUGACAACCGAGUGGAACUGACGGGGCCGGCGCCUGCCCUGCGGGUCCCCUCCCUUGGCUGAGAAGAAAACCAAAUAAACCUUGAACAGCC